rnacentral:ribozyme from 1 species
AGAAAAAAGAGAUCUUGCUCUGCAAUAGUUGGACAUUAAUGAGCAUGCAAUGUGCUCCCACUUGUUUCCAAUUUUUCUUGUUUUCCUUUCUCUUUGUCAUGACCAAGGCUGUCCAAGCCAAUCAAAAAAAGGGUAGUAGCUGU